UUUAUCCUUGUGGUAGUAAUAACUGACGUCAAUGUAUUUUCUCUUCCAUGGGUGGGGAGCGCAGUCGCAACAAGACGCGCAUAUAAGGCCGCGUGUGCAAACAAAUCCCUGCAAUCCGCAUUUCUACACCCUCCCUCGAGGAUGGCGGGUUUGCUUGGCUUCCAACAGAAGAAGAAGGGGUGCGUUGCAUCCUCCUCUGGUUACCUUCUGGGUUACACACCACACAUUCAUCCAAAUGUCAUCUCUAUUUUCUUUCUUUACAUUCAAACAGGGGGUCAUCAUGGGUUAACAAAACUGGACAAAUAAGUUAGGAUUUUUACAACCACUACUUUUUGUUAAAAUUAUUUAUUUAUUUGUUACUGAAAUUUCCAAAAGGAUUUGAUAUUUACUUAGGAUUAUUAUAAGUGAAGAAGUAUUUGGUCACGUUAACCGUUAUAUGUGGUCCAUUCUAACUCAAUUGAAUCAUCGUCAGAACGAGAUAAUAAUCACCCGCGGGGUUAUAAUAUCCACAGUUAGAUCUAUUCUCGCGUUAGAGUUUAAAUCGUCGGUACCGUUUGAUCCUCGAACCAUGUCUCCUUUCGCUAUCUCACUGUUGUGUCUACCGGAAGAUCAAAACUCCCAAGAGGAAUUAAGGAACAACAAAAACCUGACUUGAAUUUUUAUCAUUCGGUUGAGAUCCAUCUUUCGAUUUGAUCUACGAACAACCAACUUACUCUUCUUCUUGGUGGGCUAAAAAUUUGGUUAACAAGUUAGAAAAACACAUAUAUUUCAAGAAACUCAACCGGUACUAUCAAGAUGGCGAUUUACGUGGCAAACCAUAUGGAAAACCACAGAGUAGAAGGAAGAAGGAUCUAUUCCAAAAUAUAUGACCGUGUAGAGGGAUGAGGCAGGGGAGUGCAAAAAGGAUACAGGGACUUGGAAACGAACGAUAGAAAACUCUUUUAUGAUAAGCUGAAAAACUAAACGUCUUCUUCAGUAUUUUGUUUACUUUACACGAUACCCCACUUCUUUCAUCUGGCACACGAGUAAUAGAAGAAGAAAGUCACUCUUUGAUACUUUACGAAGAAGUUAGAAAGAGACAGAUAUAGGAAUAUGGUUGGGACUAUGGUAAAAAGGAAGAAAAAAACGUUCACAAGGAAGAGAAGGUUUACGUUCAUGGUUCUUGGCUACUGUUUCUGUUGCUGCUACUGUUGCUGCUCCAAUUGGUGUUGGCGGUGAUCUUCAAAGAGGAAUCCGC